rnacentral:rRNA from 1 species
CCUGGUUGAUCCUUCCAAUAGUCAUAUGCUUGUCUCAAAGAUUAAGCCAUGCAUGUGUAAGAAUGAACAAAUUUAGACUGUGAAAUUGUGAAAGGCACAUUAAAUGAUUUAUAGUUUGUUUGAUGGUAUCUACUAGUCGGAUAACCGUAGUAAUUCUAUAGCUAAUACGUGAAACAAACCCCGACUUCUGGAAGGGAUGCAUUUAUUAGAUAAAAGGUUGACGCGGGCUUUGCCAAUUGCUACGAUGAUUCAUGAUAAGUCAACGGAUUGCACGGCUAUCGUGCGGCGAUGCAUUAUUCAAAUUUCUAUCCUAUCAAGUUUCGAUGGUAGGAUAGUGGCCUACCAUGGUGGUGAUGGGUGAUGGAGAUUAGGGUUCGAUUUCAGAGAGGGAGCCUGAGAAACGGCUACCAUAGCCAAGGAAGGCAGCAGGCGUGCAAAUUCCCCAAUCUUGACAUGGGAAGGUAGUGACAAUAAAUAAUAAUACCAGGAUUAAUGAGUCUUGUAAUUGGAAUGAGUACAAUCAAAAUCCCUUAAGGAGGAUCCAUUGGAGGGAUAUUUUGGUGCCAACAGCCAUGGUAAUUCCAACACUUAUAGCAUAAAUUUAAGUUGUUGCAGUUAAAAAGUUCAAAGUUAGAAUUUGGGAUUGGCCGACUGGUCCGCAUAUGGUGUGCAAUGGUCGUCUCUUCCCUUCUUUCAGCGAUGCGCUCCUGGCCUUAACUGGCCGGGUCGUACCUCCGACGUUGUUACUUUGAAGAAAUUAGAGUGCUUAAAGCAAGACUAUGCUCUGUAUUCAUUAGCAUAGGAUAACAUUAUAGGAUUUUGGUCCUAUUACGUUGGCCUUUGGGAUCAGAGUAAUGACUAACAGGGAUAGUUGGGGGCAUUCGUAUUUCAUAGUCAGAGGUGAAAUUAUUGAAUUUAUGAAAUACGAACAAUUGUGAAAGCAUUUUCCAAGGAUGUUUACAUUAGUCAAGAAUGAAAGUUGGGGGCUCGACGGUGAUCAAAUACCGUCCUAGUCUCAAUCAUAAACGAUGCCGACCAGGGAUCGGAGGAUGUUGCUUUUAGGACUCUGCCGGCACCUUAUGAGAAAUCAAAGUUUUUGGGUUCCGGGAAGAAUAUGGUCGCAAGCCUAAAACUUAAAGUAAUUGACGGAAGGUCACCACAAGGAGUGGAGCCUGCGGCUUAAUUUGACUCAACACGGGGAAACUUACCUGGUCUAGACAUAUUAAGGAUUGACAGACUGAGAGCUCAUUGUUGAUUCUAUGGGUGGUAGUGCAUGGCCGUUCUUAGUUGGUGGAGCAAUUUUUCUGGUUAAUUCUAUUAAUGAAUGAGACUUCAGCCUGCUAACUAUCUCUGUGGAGGUAUCCUUUCGCGGCCAGCUUCUUAGAGGGACUACGACCUUUUAGGCCAUGGAAGUUUGAGGCAAUAACAGGUCUGUGAUUCCCUUAGAUGUUCUGGCCGCACGCGUGCUACAUUGAUGUAUUCAAUGCAUUUAUAGCAUUGGCCGACAGGCCCGGGUAAUCUUUGAAAUUUCAUCAUGAUGGGGAUAGAUCAAUGGAAUUGUUGGUCUUCCACGAGGAAUUCCUAGUAAGCGGGAGUUAUCAGGUCGCGUUGACUAUGUCUCUGCCCUUUGUACACACCGCCCAUCUCUCCUACUGAUUGAAUGAUCCGAUGAAAUGUUUGGAUCAUGGCGACGUGGGUGGGUCGCUACCUAAGAGAUCGCGAGAAGUCCAUUUCAAAACCUGUACAGCAGAAUGACCAGCGAAUAUUUUUAACAACUGGGGAGUCCGCGCAGG